rnacentral:tRNA from 1 species
CAAAAAAUAGUUUUAUUAAAAAUAUU